UUCUGUUGUUGUUUGCUGUGCUGAGUUGGUUUUGAAUAGCGAGCGAGUAAGCUUCUCGCUGUGAUUGCGGUUUGCAGCGCAGUGAACAAUAUCGAAGUCGAACCGUUCCUGGACUGGAUGCAAGCACAAUAAUAAAAAAAAUCAAAGCAGGUUUGAUGAUCGGCGUUAUUUUUAACAAGAUAGUGUGAAAAGUACGAUUUUUAACUAAAUACAAGGUCCAUGAGUGGUCGAAAUUAGUGAAAAUGAUUAGUGCCAUCGUUUCGCGAAUUGUGAUAUUGUUGUUUGGCACGCUCUAUCCCGCCUAUGCAUCAUACAAAGCAGUUCGGACCAAAAAUGUCAAGGAAUAUGUCAAAUGGAUGAUGUAUUGGAUAGUGUUCGCGUUCUUCACCUGCGUUGAAACGUUCACCGAUAUUUUACUGUCGUGGUUCCCGUUCUACUAUGAGAUCAAAGUCAUCAUCGUCCUGUGGCUACUGUCACCGGCGACCCGCGGCAGUUCGACACUCUACCGGAAGUUUGUGCAUCCGAUGCUGACACGCCGCGAACAGGAAAUCGAUGAUUACAUCAACCAAGCCAAAGAAAAGGGUUACACGGCUGUGCUACAGCUAGGUUCUAAAGGCGUUAACUAUGCCACGAACGUUAUCAUGCAGACUGCAAUCAAGGGUGGUGGCGGUUUGGUGCAGACGCUGCGCAAAAGCUACAGCCUGAGCGACCUCUCGGAAACGGAUGCGCCGCGCACCCAGGAGGAGAUGGAUGAACUGACCCGACCGCAGCGGGUACUGCGAUCCAAAAGCGCCCGGUCCGCUUCCGGUGGUCGCCACGUGGAAAUGUACUUUCCCGAGGUGGAACUAGCUGGGACACCACACCACAAUCCACCACCGUAUAACUAUAUUCGGUCCUCAGACGAUAUCAGUUCAGGAUAUUCGAGUGCAGAGCCAGGAUUGAGCAGAACGGCCUCGAUGAGCAACACGGCUAGGCCGCGCGUAAAAUCCAAAACGCGUGAGGACGACGAAGAAGUUUUUCGUGACGGCAGAGAUACAGAUCGGUACUACGGCAGUGGUUCUCAAUUUCCACCUUUCGCUACUCUUUAUGAAAUCCCCUCCACUCCUCUUCCGGCUAUAACACAAGCCAAUGAAUCCAUUCCCGAUACCAUGUGUCCACCAAUUUACACCUCUAAAGCUACCUCGGUUUCGAUUUCUCCUCAAGCAAUACCACCAGAUGUAGAUCAAAAAUACCAUCUGUUUCUGCAAUGGAUGGAAUCACAAAAGCAAACUGAUGCCGAGCGUGUCGAAACAUUCCCAUACAUCGACAAUCCUGAACCUAUCGAUUCGGAUGGCUUAGUUGCAUCAGAAGAAAUAAAAGUAGAAUCUGUUUCCUACGUGCCUCAUUUUUUAGACAAUAAUCCAGUUAGUGAGAAGGAAGAUUUCCGAAUAGAAGCUCCUAUGAUGACACCUGUUUCAGACUUAGAUACGGAGCACUCUGAGAAGGAUCUUCUUGACGAUGCCUUUCGCGAUACUAUAUCACUGUCCAGUGAGGAUGAGUUCUUAGAAGUUGAUGAUAGUUUCUCGGAGGUGAUAACCGAUGCUUCCAACGAAUUACCAUUGAUUGUAGAGCCUUUGCAUAAUGAGUCUCAGUUAGGGUUAGAACCAAGUAUACCUCAGGACGAAGCUAUCCCAACGGUAAUAGAUACGAUGGAUAUGACUGAACAGGUGCCAAACAUCACUGAAACUAAACCUAAUACAAAUUAUUCUGAGGAUGAUAAGUCUAGUUCAACGCUGUUUCUACAAGAAAACCUUCAUAUUUCAGAAGACGAUAUAUUUUCGAAAGACCCAAAAGAUACUGUCAAAAAUACAUCAGAAAUACCCCUUUCGGAAUCGUUAGAAAUGACUGUGCCAACUUCAAGCAGUUUAAAUGUUUCGACUUCUAAUCUAACAACUUCAACAUCAUCUCUAGCGCUUUCGGAAACCAGCAGUCACGCAGAUGAUCCAGUUUCGUCGAAAAAAUUAAUGACUCAUGGUAAAAAGAAGGCUCCUCCAAUCCCAAUAGUCUUCAAAGCGGAAACAUUGAUUCCUUCGGUUGAUGCUCCCUCUAUUCCAAAGUUACCAGAAAAAGUUCAGAAAUCGAUUCCCGUCUCAGUGCAACAUUCGAAAAGUAUUGGUUCGGAAUCUUCGAUCGAAAAAGAAAAGGAUAAAAAGCACAAACCGAACAAGUUGAUGAGUUCCCUCAGCGGGAUGUUCAAGCAUGAUAGUGCACCUACAUCGGCGACGGUGUCUACUUCUAAACUACCCGCUCGAGCUGGAGACUCUCUGCUGCCGAAAGAGACUGAAAUUUAAUUAUAACCCCUUCUUGAUUCCUUGUUCGAUGUACGCCUAGACAUCCUCCCUGAGGCGAUUGAGAAUUACUGCUCGUUAAGACGAUAACCGAGGUCCAUUGUGUUUGGUUGUACUCUCCCCAAUUGAGAAAAUAUCGACUAGCUGCACCACAUUACCUCGUUCCAAGAAGGUGGAGAAGGUCGUCAAAACACGCUCGAAAACAGAAAAACAAUAGGAUUUCUGAUUGGUGGACACUUGACUGUUUCAUGAUUUUUGUCUUUUUUUCUGAUGACAGAUCUUCAAUUUUAUGUUCCAUGCUUUAGUUUAUACGUCUUCAUACGAUACGAUAUGAGUUAAAACUCGAAUGGUGCUUCUAACAAAUAUACAAAUUUCCUCGAGAAAAAGAAAAAAGAACAUAUGACGAGCGCGAUGAGCACAAUGAAUAAGAGCUUACAAGUGUUAUAAUAGUUGCUUUCAGUCUAUUACAAAUAAAGAAUGGUUUUUAUCCCAAAA